UUAAGUGAAUAAGGGCGCACGGUGGAUGCCUUGGCACUAGGAGCCGAUGAAGGACGGGACUAACACCGAUAUGCUUUGGGGAGCUGUAAGUAAGCUAUGAUCCAGAGAUUUCCGAAUGGGGGAACCCAAUAUCUUUUAUAGGAUAUUACUUUUCAGUGAAUACAUAGCUGAUUAGAGGUAGACGCAGAGAACUGAAACAUCUUAGUACCUGCAGGAAGAGAAAGAAAAUUCGAUUCCCUGAGUAGCGGCGAGCGAAACGGGAAGAGCCCAAACCAACAAGCUUGCUUGUUGGGGUUGUAGGACUCCAAUAUGGUAGUCUGUUAGUAUAGUUGAAGGAUUUGGAAAAUUCCGCUAAAGAGGGUGAAAGCCCCGUAGACGAAAUGCUGACAACACCUAGGAGGAUCCUGAGUACGGCGGAACACGAGAAAUUCCGUCGGAAUCCGCGGGGACCAUCCCGCAAGGCUAAAUACUCCCUAGUGACCGAUAGUGAACCAGUACCGUGAGGGAAAGGUGAAAAGCACCCCGGAAGGGGAGUGAAAUAGAUCCUGAAACCGUGUGCCUACAACAAGUCAAAGCUCGUUAAUGAGUGAUGGCGUGCCUUUUGUAGAAUGAACCGGCGAGUUACGAUUGCAUGCGAGGUUAAGUCGAAGAGACGGAGCCGCAGCGAAAGCGAGUCUGAAUAGGGCGAAUGAGUAUGUAGUCGUAGACCCGAAACCAUGUGAUCUACCCAUGUCCAGGUUGAAGGUGCGGUAAAACGCACUGGAGGACCGAACCCACGUACGUUGAAAAGUGCGGGGAUGAGGUGUGGGUAGCGGAGAAAUUCCAAACGAACUUGGAGAUAGCUGGUUCUCUCCGAAAUAGCUUUAGGGCUAGCCUCGGAAUUGAGAAUGAUGGAGGUAGAGCACUGUUUGGACUAGGGGCCCAUCUCGGGUUACCGAAUUCAGAUAAACUCCGAAUGCCAUUCAUUUAUAUCCGGGAGUCAGACUGCGAGUGAUAAGAUCCGUAGUCGAAAGGGAAACAGCCCAGACCACCAGCUAAGGUCCCAAAAUAUAUGUUAAGUGGAAAAGGAUGUGGGGUUGCACAGACAACUAGGAUGUUGGCUUAGAAGCAGCCACCAUUUAAAGAGUGCGUAAUAGCUCACUAGUCGAGUGACCCUGCGCCGAAAAUGUACCGGGGCUAAACAUAUUACCGAAGCUGUGGACUACACCAUUAGGUGUAGUGGUAGGAGAGCGUUCUAAGGGCGUUGAAGGUCGAUCGUGAGGACGGCUGGAGCGCUUAGAAGUGAGAAUGCCGGUAUGAGUAGCGAAAGACAGGUGAGAAUCCUGUCCACCGUAUGACUAAGGUUUCCUGGGGAAGGCUCGUCCGCCCAGGGUUAGUCGGGACCUAAGCCGAGGCCGAUAGGCGUAGGCGAUGGACAACAGGUUGAUAUUCCUGUACCAGUUGUUUUUGUUUGAGCAAUGGAGGGACGCAGUAGGCUAAGGAAUGCAUGCGAUUGGAAGUGCAUGUCCAAGCAAUGAGUCUUGAGUAGAGUUAAAUGCUUUACUCUUUAAGGACAAGUUGUGACGGGGAGCGAAAUAAUAGUAGCGAAGUUCCUGAUGUCACACUGCCAAGAAAAGCUUCUAGUGAGAAAACAACUGCCCGUACCGUAAACCGACACAGGUAGUCGAGGAGAGUAUCCUAAGGUGAGCGAGCGAACUCUCGUUAAGGAACUCGGCAAAAUGACCCCGUAACUUCGGGAGAAGGGGUGCUGACUUCGGUCAGCCGCAGUGAAUAGGCCCAAGCGACUGUUUAUCAAAAACACAGGUCUCUGCAAAAUCGUAAGAUGAAGUAUAGGGGCUGACGCCUGCCCGGUGCUGGAAGGUUAAGAGGAUGGGUUAGCUUCGGCGAAGCUCAGAAUUGAAGCCCCAGUAAACGGCGGCCGUAACUAUAACGGUCCUAAGGUAGCGAAAUUCCUUGUCGGGUAAGUUCCGACCCGCACGAAAGGCGUAACGAUUUGGGCACUGUCUCAACGAGAGACUCGGUGAAAUUUUAGUACCUGUGAAGAUGCAGGUUACCCGCGACAGGACGGAAAGACCCCAUGGAGCUUUACUGUAGUUUGAUAUUGAGUGUUUGUACCACAUGUACAGGAUAGGUAGGAGCCGAUGAGACCGGAACGCUAGUUUCGGAGGAGGCGCUGGUGGGAUACUACCCUUGUGUUAUGAACCCUCUAACCCGCACCACUAAUCGUGGUGGGAGACAGUGUCAGAUGGGCAGUUUGACUGGGGCGGUCGCCUCCUAAAAGGUAACGGAGGCGCCCAAAGGUUCCCUCAGAAUGGUUGGAAAUCAUUCGAAGAGUGUAAAGGCAGAAGGGAGCUUGACUGCGAGACCUACAAGUCGAGCAGGGACGAAAGUCGGGCU
rnacentral:rRNA from 1 species